UGGGUCUUCGUUGCUGCGCGUGGGCUUCCUCUAGUUGCGAGUCCUACUGCUGAAGUUCCACAUGAAAAAGCAUUACAACUAAGUGCCAUGAAAAUCUUUCUUCCCUUGAGGAACUGGUGGAAUUUUCCAGUGCUGUAUUAUUUGACUGAUUUUCACCAUCUUUCAAGAGGCAACAGUCUACCAAUAACUGGAUCUUGCGACAAG